GUGCCAGCCGCCGCGGUAAUACGUAGGGUCCGAGCGUUGUCCGGAGUUACUGGGCGUAAAGCGCGCGCAGGCGGCGGUAUAAGCAUGGCGUGAAAGCCCCAGGCUCAACCUGGGAGGGUCGUCGUGGACUGUACCGCUUGAGGGCGAUAGGGGCUGGUGGAAUGCCUGGUGUAGUGGUGAAAUGCGUAGAGAUCAGGCGGAACACCCGUGGCGAAGGCGGCCAGCUGGGUCGUCCCUGACGCUGAGGCGCGAAGGCGUGGGGAGCGAACGGGAUUAGAAACCCUAGUAGUCC
rnacentral:rRNA from 1 species